UGUUGGACCUGCUGUCCCUCUGUCUCUUUCUGGAACACUCUGUGCUCUGAGAGAUGAUUAUUGGCCAUCUUUGCUUCUCCUUUUCCUCUCUCCAUGGAGCAAGGGGCAGUGAGCUCCCAUUUACAAGCAGCAGCAGCUGUAGGAAGAAGAUGUCUCCAAGCUUCCAAGGAAAAUGUCUGAGUUUGGGGACGUGGAUGCAGACUGACUGCAGGACUGCACCUCACCAGAUGAGGAAACUAAGAUAAAGAUCAGGAGAGCUGUCCAAAUCCCACAGAUAUUUACCCUGGGGCUGGUAAACUCCAAACACUUUUAACCUUGGUCCUACACACGAGGGGUGCAGCAGAAGGCAGGAUGCCAUUUUAAAGUGUGUUUUGCCCAUGGUCUUGCCACUUGUCCAGAAUAUUAAGCUUCUGAGAUGUGGAGCAUGGAAGUGACAGCAGAAAUGAAUCUCUGAUUCAUCACUGAAUUGUUUGAUACACCAAGUAUCCAGCUUCAGUCAACAGAAACAAGUGAGCUUCCUAAAAUGUUCCU